CCUACGGGAGGCAGCAGUGGGGAAUAUUGGACAAUGGGGGGAACCCUGAUCCAGCCAUGCCGCGUGUGUGAAGAAGGCCCUCGGGUUGUAAAGCACUUUCAGUGAGGAAGAACGCCUGGUGGUUAAUACCCAUCAGGAAAGACAUCACUCACAGAAGAAGCACCGGCUAACUCCGUGCCAGCAGCCGCGGUAAUACGGAGGGUGCGAGCGUUAAUCGGAAUUACUGGGCGUAAAGCGCGCGUAGGUGGCUUGAUAAGCCGGUUGUGAAAGCCCCGGGCUCAACCUGGGAACGGCAUCCGGAACUGUCAAGCUAGAGGGCAGGAGAGGAAGGUAAAAUGCCCGGUGGAGCGGUGAAAUGCGGAGAGAUCGGGAGGAAUACCAGUGGCGAAGGCGGCCUUCUGGACUGACACUGACACUGAGGUGCGAAAGCGUGGGUAGCAAACAGGAUUAGAUACCCCGGUAGUC
rnacentral:rRNA from 1 species